rnacentral:lncRNA from 1 species
CCGCCGCCCCCAAAUCUCCCCAUCCACCGUGCGGCCGUGCCCCGCCGCCAGCCAUCCCGCCGCCGCCGGACGCCCUCGACCCGACCACUGCCAACCCCAUCACCGCGGACCGCCCUCCACCCCGACUAGCUCCGCCGUCGCCCCCAACUACCCCACAGCAGUGCCGCCGAGCAGCCUACUGAUGCGGACCACCACUGUUGCCGAGCCACACCACCGGUGACCACCAUCCUCCGUCGAACCUCUUCCCUCGCCACCACACUCUUCUUCACGAGCUUGCUCCCCCGAGCAGACCUCCUCCCUAAGGUGCGUGUCCACGGAGCAGAAUCUCGCCAUUUCGUCGCGUGGGAUGUAUACUUUGUUGCCCUCAUUUUCUUUCUUAUGCUUUUGCCCUAGAUGAUGGUCUUGAUGCUACCACUUUUCUUAAUGAUCCUCGUGCAGUCUAUCAAGCUAGUAGUUCUUCAGAUGGGAUUGGCGAGCGCAAUAGUUUUGGAGUUUGUGGACUAUUUUCUUAUGAGAGAAGAACAAGUGGGGAAGUCGAACAGUGGUAGUUCUAUUGAUUGCUCUGGCGCAAUAUUUGUAUUGUCUGUAGGGGAGGGUUCUGAUUUAUUUCUUCUGAACCCGAAUGAGGCCGAUAGCCCAAAUAAAUCUUUGCUCUAGUUAUAUUUAGCCUUCUGUUGCAUCAGGGGCAAACAAGUGCUAUUUUGUUCCUGCAGUUCAGCAACCAAAAGUGUGUGGUUCAUGCAUUGUGCAAUUUACUUUGUCAUGCUUUACUUCAGUGUUGAUGCAUCUUUUUACAUCAUCUUGUUUGUUUAUUUGUAGAGCACUGCGUAAAAGCAUAAUGUUGAAGUAACUCGAGUUCUUAGGUCCCAAACGACUAGAGAUGUUGAUGACAAAUACAUGGCAAAAGUACAAAGGCUACCACAAGCAAACCUGAGGAGGUAAUACAUGUUUCUCUUGGCUAUUGCCAUGUGGUACUAUUUCUUUGUUGUUUAACAUUCAAUCGUUAUCUUGAUAAGUCUGGAAGGAACUUAAAGCCUCUCAAUUAUUGAUUUAUGAUCUUUGUAUAAUACCUUAUAAGAUGCAUUGAUAACUUCAUAAGAAGAACUAAGCUUAUAAGAUGCAUUGUUUAUACUGCAUGCACCUUUUUUGUGAUGUUAGACAAUUUAAAAUAUUGAAGCAGGAAAUAUUGGCCAUCGUAACCAUGCUCUGUUAGGUCACUACUAAUAUUACCUUGUAGAAUCAAAUUGAAAGUGGGAAACUGCAGAUUUGAAUGGAAGUCCAUCUAGAUAGUGAUGCUUUGCUUAUUUCCUAAAAAAAUUUAUCAGUUGGUCUCAUGUUGUUUAUCUUAUGCUCUGGGUUGUGUGAUCUGUACUCUACAUUUGUAUUAUGGAGAUUGUUCCUCAGCUUGUUUCUCUUACAACCUACAACCAUUCCUUUAUGCAUUCACAUCAAAACCGAUUUCUUGUAGGCUGUGCGCUUGCCUUAUUGCGGGAAACAAAAAUAGAGCUCUAUCCUGUUAUUUUCUCUAUAUUCUACAAGCACAGUAUUUGAUUGAGCCAGCAUGUAUUGUUGGUGACUUAUUUGUAUGCCUAACAAGUUGGGUGCAAUGCCUAUUUGGUAAUAAAUUCUUCAUUGGUAGGUCUAUGAUCUUGCUCAUGUGCUAGUCUGGGUUAGGUGAACUGUACUGUUGAUUGUGCACUUGCCUAGCUAGUUAGCUAUGUAAAUAUGUAAUUCUACACCCUCUUUUGUUUGUAGCGUGUAUUUGAAUGUGAUUCCAUUUAGCCGCUCACGGCUUAUUUUAGUUCCUGAAUUUAGUAGUACAAGCUAUUUAUUGAUGUAUGGUUUCAAUGCUUGGUCGUGGUUACGCAUGUACUACAAGAAGAAUCUGUGAUAGUAUUGGUUUGUCAUGAUUGUCUGUUGAAAAUAUAUGCUUUGUGAUGACUUGAUAUUUCAGAGAUGGCAUGUUGGAAGUAUAAAUUGGUCCAAUGUAUAUCCCUAUCUCAUUUAUCUUUUAGUUAAUUCUAGAGAAAGCUUUACGAAGUUAAUUCACUACUACACGAAGUCUUGUGUAUGGAAGGGAAAUUGGAUAUUCUCCUCACUGCACUAAUCAAAACAUAUUUGUAGAUACUCUGCUUAUUCUGGUUCAUGCUGCUACUUAAUUAUAAGCGCUUCUUUUAUGAGCUUCUAUAUUAUGCAAAUAAUGUGAUAAUUUAGCAUCCUACUUUCAUGGCUUUGGAUGUCACUUGAAAAACUACUAGUGGAAGUUUUUUCUUGUUCUUCCCUUAGCUAGAUGUCGAAGUAUAAGGAUCAAGCUCAUGUAGAAGAUAUCUCUUUUUUGUGUGCGAAAAGCUCAUGUACAAGAUGUCAGUAUAACUAAGUAACAAGAUCCUUUUCUUUGCUUAAUAAUAAUAGCAGUUUUGCAAACACUGUUCUCUAUUUAUAAUCUAUUAUUUUCGGUUGUCCAGUGUCCCAUCUGAUGUUUAUGGAUUGCUUAUGGUAAGGAACCAGAGCUUGGAACCACAUGCUGAUUUGCUGUUAUUGUUUAAAAGAUGAACCAGAGCAAGGACACUUAUAUUGUGUUGAUUGCUUAAAAAACUUUGCUUCUCUGUAUGCAGUUGGAAGUGGACAAGUCCAUGGCAAAAGUAGGAAUGCGUCCACAAGCAAGCUGAGGUGAGGUAAUAUUCAUGUUUCUCUUGGCUUUGAGGUCUAAGUGGGUUAUUCUUUUUCUUGUUGGAUGUCUAUUUUUCCAUCUACUGCUCUACGUUCUCCAGAGAUGAUGCUUUUUACUAUUUGCAAUCACGUUUCACACUCUCACCACAAUAGCAAAUCAAUUAGAAUAGAAUCCUGCUGGUUGUGGUUGUCGAUAUAGUUUCUUAUUCUUGCAUGCCAGCUAGAUCUUGAAUUAGAGUGUUAGACGACAUAAUCAUAUUUCAUAGAAUGGUAGGUGAUAUGUAGGAAAGUGAACCGAUAUGUAGGGUACCCUAGACUCUGUUUACAACAUCAUUGAGAUUGAUUCUGUCUGAUAGAAUUCAGCAAAGCAGAUUUGCUAUUUGUUAGCUAUGACCUCUGAGUCUGAAAGCAUAGGCUCAAAUAUGGUAGUUUCAAUCAUAAUGAAUGGAUCAUAGAUCGCCACAGGCAACCCAGGUUGAAAACUUAAUAAGGGCACUAAGAAGUAGAACAUCCUGAAGUGGCGUGCAGAGAUAUUUUAGCUGCAUAUUCCCUAUUGUUUUUUAUGGAGUAGUCGUUGUCAGUGGGGUGUUGAGAAGUGAAAACACGAAUAUCUUUAGUUGGUUAAGUUAAUGUCAUCGUGUUGUCAUCAUGUCUUAAAGGGAACAUGGAUGUAGAAUGUAUGUAUGUGCCUACUUGGUUCCACUAUGCAGUGCACACUGCCGAAAAAGUUCGAUUGUAAUAUUAAGUGUAAAUAUCAAGGAACCACAACUGUUUGGGCAUAGGUUCUAGAAAACACAAUUUUUGGGGGCGCAGACCUCGAGCUAGCUAUCCUGGCGCAGGGGUUGCGCCACUGCUUCAUCUCGUCCUCGACAGAACUACUCCACUCAGGCAACUAAAAACCCAUAAGGCACAUACUUGGUGUUUCUUCUCCUUUAAGACCCUCUACUUUGAGCAUGUUGCUCAGUCCAAGGCAAGUUCUUUGUCCAAUUUUCUGUGUACAAAUCCUGUCUAAUAUUUUGAACAAUUACCCUGUGUUAUGUGCAUGUGGGGGAGAGGAUAUGAAUGGAUCUGAAGAGCAGCAAGAUUACAAUGGCGAGUGGAGAGACUGAUGCUGUGUUGCUUGCUGAUGCUACUCCUUUUCCCGUCUUCUGCUUUGGUGACCCUCCUCUACACGCUAUGCUGAUUGUGGUGGUGCUACCGAGCUGCCCCUCCUCUUCUCAUAAGAUUCGUUCUUGUUCUUUUUCUGAUAGAUAGAAGUACUAGAUUGUGCCUUUAUUAGUUGCAUAUUUAUAUUUAGCAAGUGAUCAUUUAGCAUGCAGAUGCACUUUGGACUAACCUCAAAUUUCACUUUGCUUUUUUCAGCUCAGCAUUAUAAAUAAGGCAUUGAACACAUCUCCUGAAGGUUUGACAAGAUCUUGAAGGUGUUGGAGGUUUGGCAAGAUCUGCAAGGCGUCCAUACUUAAUUUUUUUCUGCUAAUUUUGGUGGUUAUUUUAGCGCAUAAGCCGAUGUAUGCUCAUUUUCGCUGUGUAGCACAUCUAGAAACAUGUAUUUUUUUUCCUUUUGUGGCACAACAUCCUUGAUGUAUUUAGAAACAAGUAUUUGGUCGCUUAUCAAAUGAAGCUUAAGGUUUUGGAUGUGGCUUAUAUGUAACUUUGAUUGAGAAGUCUGUAUGAGCUGUGAGAUCUAGCAUGAUUUGUCCAAACAUACUGAAUGUAUAUAAAAGUAGGGAUAAGCUGCGUAGAAAAUUUUGUUAG